CUGGUUGGCCAGUUCACAAGCAGUGACCUUCACUUACUCUCAAAAGGGUGAGGCUCGCGCAGCCAUGAGAGGCAGAAGACUGGUGUCUGGCCUAAAGGCUCUUGCGAUCCACUUGUGAAGACCUCGCUGAGAAACAUUUUUUUUUCCCCACAUCUUGGUACUGAAGAUAGUAACAGCCCAACUCACCACUGGCAGGCGACCACUAUCUGGAAUGAUCAAGGUACCAGAUCAGCUGAGGGGCAGACUGACGUCACCAUUCUGCUACAGAAAGACCAAAGCCUCCAGAGAUUCAUGCAGAAGUCAUGUGUGUCCACGGAGAGAGAGAAGGAGCAAUGAGCAGAGGACACUCCCCUGUCGUCUGUCUAAUGACCAAACCGAACUAACAUAGAAGCACAUGGAGCAGAGGUUUUUGACCCUCUGGUGAACCUUCCAGACAACUAAUGAAUAACAAUGAAUACUGUCUUCUCAGCGCUCCAGCACUCAUCUAAGAUUUAAAGUAAACCACUUUCCUCAGUCUGGGUGUCUAUCAACCUGCAAUCACGUAUGGAUGGGGAAAAGUUUGUGAAACAUCUCAUUUCUCACACAAAUGAUUAAUCACUUUUAGAGCAGGAUGAACAACAUACAAAGCAGGGUUGGAGCUGUCUGUUGCAUACAACUACAUCUCAGUUUCUGACCCAGAUGAAAUCCUGCAUAAACACAAGAAGUCUGUUUCAUAUAUUCCAUAUUCGGGUUUAACAGGUUUGCAUUUAAGUUUACGUCUUCCUAAUUUGCCAACUGAAUGAAAACGCUCAAAAUCAGAAAGCCAUGCUAAAGGAAACACCAGACUUUUAAGCAAAAAUGGGUAUUAAAAUACAACUUGGAGUUAUACAUCUAUUCUACAAGUGACAAAUUCUGAGAGGAACUGGAGGGCGAGAGAGACAAUGCCAUGCAGUGGAGACUGGAUUAUUUCAAAUUUCUAGACAGGGAAGCUGUCUUCAGGCGGACAGCUCUCCAUCCACAGGUUGUCCAAAGAGCCGGUCUUUCGACAGGCGGUCAAGUUGUAGGUGAUGCAAUGAACUGGGUUAUA